AGGAGAGUUUGAUCCUGGCUCAGGAUGAACGCUAGCGGCAGGCUUAACACAUGCAAGUCGAGGGGCAGCGCGGUUGUAGCAAUACGACUGGCGGCGACCGGCGAAAGGGUGCGUAACGCGUGAGCGACAUGCCCGUCACCGGGGUAUAACCGAUGGAAACGUCGACUAAUCCCCCAUAACAUCAGAGGAGGCAUCUUCUUUGGUUGAAAUUCACGGAGGUGACGGAUUGGCUCGCGUCUGAUUAGCUAGUCGGCGGGGUAACGGCCCACCGAGGCUACGAUCAGUAGGGGUUCUGAGAGGAAGGUCCCCCACAAUGGAACUGAGACACGGUCCAUACUCCUACGGGAGGCAGCAGUGAGGAAUAUUGGUCAAUGGGCGGAAGCCUGAACCAGCCAUGCCGCGUGCAGGACGACGGCCCUAUGGGUUGUAAACUGCUUUUGCUGCGGAGCAAUAAGGGCCUCGAGCAGGUCCGAUGAGAGUACGCAGCGAAUAAGCAUCGGCUAACUCCGUGCCAGCAGCCGCGGUAAUACGGAGGAUGCGAGCGUUAUCCGGAUUUAUUGGGUUUAAAGGGUGCGUAGGCUGUGCGUUAAGUCAGGGGUGAAAUGCCGUCGCUCAACGACGGAGCUGCCCUUGAUACUGGCGUGCUGGAGUACGGAUGCCGUUGGAGGAAUGAGUGGUGUAGCGGUGAAAUGCUUAGAUAUCACUCAGAACACCGAUUGCGAAGGCAUCUGACGAAUCCGUCACUGACGCUGAGGCACGAAAGCGUGGGGAUAGAACAGGAUUAGAUACCCUGGUAGUCCCCU
rnacentral:rRNA from 1 species